GAUGCGUUGAGCUAACCGGUACUAAUGAACCGUGAGGCUUAACCUUACAACGCCGAAGAUGUUUUGGCGGAUUGAGAAGACAACAAUUUUCAGCUCAGAUUCAGAGUC
rnacentral:rRNA from 2 species